rnacentral:lncRNA from 1 species
GAAAAACUCACGAUAGGUAGAACACUGUUAGUGGAACACAUGGACAAUGAAUAUUGAGAAUAAUAUAUGUGACGUGUGUGAUCAUGUGUGAUAAUCCUACAUGUCAAGGCGUGUUUGCCAUAUGAAUUCGGACUAUGAAUAGGAUUAUCUUGUGGUAAUCAUAGGCUUGUUAUAUUUUGGAAAAGAAUAAUAAAUAAAAGUGGUCGAUCGUCACAAUUACAUGAGUGGAGAUAAAUAUCAUAGAUUGAGAAUUAGAACUAAGAGGAGUUGAUCAGUGGCGUCGAAAAUCUAAUACAUUUACUCAUUUGAAGUUUAAUACAAUUUUUUGUUUUAAUUUUACAAUUUUUAGUUACAGAAUAUAAUUAACUAUUCAAACAAAAAUCAACUUUUACUUACUAAUACGAAUUUAGAUAUAUCCAAUACACUAGAAUUGAUUCUUAUUCCAUGUGGGAUGAUAACUCUUUCAUUAUAAUUACUACUUGUACAACGAACAUGUACGCUUGCGGGAAAAUAAUGAACAAGAGGAAUGGAGAAUACGCUGAAGGAGGUCCUUGGCUCCUUAUCCAGGUUUCGUAUGUGCUGGGAAAAAUCAUCCCAGCAUCAGGACAAGGCUCCAGUACUCGAGCAGGGUCCAAUCGGGAUGAGGGUUCCUACCAUUCAAACUACACCAGAUUCACCAAUAUGGAUUUUCCAAAAUUCCUCGGUGAUGAUCCUACGGAAUUGCUGAACAGAGCUUCUCAAUACUUCAACUUUCAAGAGAUUGGGGAGGAGAAAAAGGUAGCUUUAGCUUCUUUCCAUUUAGAAAGAGAAGCAAAUUAGUGGUGGCAAUGGCUUGAGAGGGUCCAAAGGGAUGAAAGAAUAGAGAUUACCAGGGAUUUGUUUGAACGUGAGAUCCUGAUCAGAUUCUGCCCCAUGAACUACAAAUGUUUUGAUGAAGCAUUGUCUGGAGUGAGACAAACAGGUACACUUAGGGACUACUAGCAUGACUUUGAGAGGUUGGCUAAUGGGGUGGUUGGUAGCCUCAAUCUGCUCUUGUGGGAACCUUUCUAGGUGGCCUAUGUGAUGAUAUUGCAGAUGAAGUGCGAAUGGCUAAGCCUAAGACUCUACAUGAGGCUAUUGGAAUAGCUAGAAUGAAGGACGACCAGCUUGUGAGAAAACGGAGGCAGGGACACAUAGAAGUGGCAAGGGUCGCCUCACCAAUGUGACUUCUCCCAGCUUCGGUACUUGCGGCAGCAACUAGAGCACCAAAACAAGUUGUUGGAUCUCUAGUUAAGUGCCUGUCAUGGGAAGAGAUGCAGCGAAGGUGGGAAAGAGUUCUUUGCUUCAACUGCAAUGAUCGAUUCACUCCGGGCCAUAAGUGCAAGACGCCACAACUUUUCUUUGUUGAAUAAUAAAGCCACUUUUAUUGACUAGAAAAGGAUAAGGUUGUCAAUUGCUUGAGUGUUAAGAAAGCCCAUGCAUGCAUACAAAAAGGUGGUGGCCAAUUUGAAUUUUUCUUCUUCCAGCCACCAGCCAACCUUGUAGAGAAUUCCAGUAGAUUUUCUUGACAUUUCCAGCAAGAAAAAGGCGGUGGAAAAUCCAGCAAAUUCCAGCCACUUGACAGCAUUAAUUUACGCCACUUUUCUUGAAUUUUCCAAGCACUUAGGCGGCAAGGAUUUCUCUAUAAAUAGAGGGCAUGAGCUAAAGGAAAAAGUGUGGUGUUGGAGAGGAAAUUUGAGAUAAAAAAAAAUUGUUUUAGUAGAGAGAAAAAAAUUGGUAAGGUAGAGAGAUAAAAAAUAUUGUUUUCUCCUAGGUAUUUCCUAUUUGGUUUUCUCCUAAUUACAAGAGAGAUUAUUCGUUGUUAUCUCCUUGUAUUUAAAGAGAUUGUUGUAAUUCUCCUACUAUAGUGAAUCCUCUCAUACUUGCCCGUGGACGUAGCCUAUAUUGGGUGAACCACGUAAAACACUUGUGUCUAUUUUAGCUGUAUUUUCUCAAUUUCAUUACUUGUUAGCCAAAGUCGACCCACGCGUUUUCUCCCUAACAUUCUUAAUCGAAGGAGGAGAACAUGAAGAUGAGGAAGAUGAUACCAAUAACAAUGCCACAAAUUUUAGGCCAUUGAUCAAAGAAUUGGAGCAGAAAGUAGUAGAGGAACAAGCGGAGAUCACUCUCUAUGCCUUCUCAGGAUGGAAGGGACCAUGUACCAUGAAGCUACAGGCUUUUACUGGAAAAUAUCCAGUGACAGUAUUCUAGAUAGUGGCUCUAGCUACAAUUUUGUGAGCCAUCGAGUUGCUCAACAACUACGGUUGCCAAUAACUCCCAAAAAAAAGCUUUAAUGUGAGAAUUGUAGAUGGAGGCCAUCUACUUUGUCAAGAGAAACACGAGGCAGUAUCAUUGGAGAUCCAAGUUUUUUCUUCUGCUGUCACUUUUUUUUCCCUUCCAUUACAAGGGCUAGAUAUUGUUCUAGGUGUACAGUGACUAGUAGAAAUGGGUCUGGUACUAUGUGAUUGGCACAAUAUGACAAUAAGGUUUAAUUGGCAAGGAAAAUCACAAGUUUUGCACGGCAAAAAGGAUCAUUCUUCAAUAGCCAUUAUUAUGCACUCAUUUAAGAAGGAAGUGGAGGGUAGAAGCACCUUAUUUGCAUUUGUUGUUAACGAAUCACAAGAAAUUGAGGCUAGUACUUCACAGAUUCUCAUUGGAAUUGUUAGGUUGUUGAAAGAAUGUGCUGGUUUAUUUAAAGAGCCACGCUCCUUACCUCCAUCCAGAGAAGUGGACCACCAAAUCCCACUGAAGGAAGGAGUCUCGACUGUUAAUGUGCAUCCCUACAGAUAUGCACACUGCCAAAAAAAUGAAAUAGAACAACAAGUGACUGAGAUGCUUAAGAAUGGGACCAUCCGUCCUAGUUACAACCCCUUUUCAUCACCGGUCUUACUGGGUAAGAAGAAAGAUGGGUCUUGGCGCUUUUGUACAGAUUAUAGAGCCCUAAAUGAAGCAACUGUCAAGGAUCGCUUUCUCAUUCCAACUGUGGACAACAUGAUCAACGAAUUACACGGUGCCAAGUACUUCACUAAGCUUGACCUCAGGGCUGGAUAUCAUCAAAUUUGAGUCCAUCCUGAUGACGUACACAAGACAGCAUUCCGAACCCAUACUGGGCAUUAUGAAUACCAUGUAAUCCCUUUUGGGCUUUGCAACGCGCCAUCAACAUUUCAAGCUACUAUUAACUCUAUUUUCCAGCCACUCUUAUGUAAGUUUGUCCUUUUUUACGACAUCUUGGUGUAUAGCCGCUCAUAGGAGGUACAUUUGGAGCACAUUUAGAGUAGUUUUUAAAAUUCUACAAGAUCAGCAAUUUUUUCUUAAACUUUCUAAAUGUGCUUUUGGGCAAGAGAAGAUGGAUUAUCUUGGACAUUUGAUUUCUAGUAAAGUUGUGGAAGUGGAUGAAGGAAAGAUUGUUCUAUGAAAAAUUGGCUAAGACCAACCAACGUGAUCGUAGGGAUGGCAAUAAAACCCACACUGCCCCGCCUUGAAUAGGGCAGAAAACCCACCCCGAACGGGGUUGGUGGGGCAGGGGGAUGGGGCAUGGCAUGGCAAGGUUCCCCGUUGCGGCCCUGAACCCACCCCGUGAAGGAAAAAAAUAAAAAUAAUUUAAAAAUAAUUUUAUUUCUAGACAAUUCACCAGUUAAAAAUUCAUUCUGAAUUUGUAUUUUAUUCUCUAAUAGUAAAAAAACUUGAAACUUUGAAAAUGUAUAAAAAAUUUAAUUAAUUAAUAAAAAAAUUAAUUAAAAAUUAAAUGGGGCAACAAACGGGGCAAAAAGUUGCCCCGUCCUCGCCCUGCCCCGCGCCCGCCCCAUCUAAGGCAAGGCGGGGUUUGGGAAAACAGGGCAGGGUGGGGACGCCCUGCCCCGUUGCCAUCAUUACGUGAUCGAGCUUAGAGGAUUCUUGGGACUUACAGGGUAUUACCGCAAGUUUGUGCGUAACUACGAAAUUAUUGCAGCACCUCUCACUCAAUUAUUGCAAAAAGGGCAGAUCCAUUGGGAUGACAAAGCACAGAAAACUUUUGAAGAACUCAAAAUCGCCACGAUUACGACCCCGGUAUUGGCUAUUCCUAAUUUUAAUGAACAAUUUGUGAUCAAAACCAAUGCUUCAGAUACAGGUAUUAGAGCUGUACUAUCCCAGCAAUUUUGACUUGUAACAUUUUUUAGUAGAGCCUUAAGUUCAAGAAAGAAGGUUUGGCCAAUUUAUUCAAAGGAAAUGCUAGCUAUAAUUGAAGUCAUUCGGUGUUGGAGACCAUAUUUCUUGGGUAGGAAAUUUCGGAUCCUCAAUGACCAACGUAGCUUGAGGUUCUUCUUGGAGUAACGUGUGGCCACCCCAAAACAACAAAAAUGGUCACUAAGUUGUGGGGGAUCCGAAUAUGAAAUAGUUUACAAACCUGGAAGGGAAAAUAGUGCAGCUGAUUCACUAUCCAGGGAAGUGGGACCACCAACUUUAUGGGUAAUUUCUGAGCCGCAGUUUACUAUAUGGGCUGAAAUAAGAAGAGAAGUGGCUCAAAGUCAAUGGGCUCAAGAAAUAAUGAAUCGAAUAGAAGCUGGGCUUGAAAAGGUACCUGACUAUGAGGGGAAGGACAGGUUAUUAUGGUAUAAAGAGCAUGUAGCUAUCCCACCAGAUUCAACUCUGAAAUCUCGCCUACUCCAAGAGUUUCAUGACACAAAAUCAGGAGGCCAUUCCAGAGUAUUAUGAACAUGAUAAAGGAUUGCCCAAGCCUUCUACUGGAGUGUACUUAGAAAAGAUGCUCGAAAGUAUGUUGCUGCGGUGACGUGUGUCAACGAAACAAGACCAACUCUCGAUCGCCAACGGGUCGUCUUCAGCCUCUUCGGUACCAUCCCAAGUAUGGGAGGACGGAUUGCCCAAGCCUUCUACUGGAGUGGACUUAAAAAAGAUGCUCGAAAUUAUGUUGCUGCAUGCGACGUGUGUCAACGGAACAAGAUCGACUCUUGAUCGCCAACGGGUCUUCUUCAGCCUCUUCCGGUACCAUCCUAAGUAUGGGAGGAUGUUUCAAUGGAUUUCAUAGAAGGGUUGCCGAAUUCUCAAGGGAAGAAUGCCAUUCUUGUGCUGGAUCGCUUGACAAAAUAAGCACACAUUAUCAGUUUAACCCACCCAUUUACAGCUAAAAAGAUAACAGAGAUGUACGUCGAAAAUGUAGCUGGCCUCCAUGGAAUACCUUGAACCAUCCUUAGUGAUCGUGAUACUCUAUUUAUUAGCAAUUUUUGGCAGGAAAUCUUUAAGUUGCAGGGAACACAGUUAAAGAUGUCAUCCGCUUAUCAUCUGGAGACGGAUGGGCAGACUGAAGUGGUAAACCAAAGCCUCCAAUAGUGUCUUCGUUCCCUGACUAGUCAGGCACCAAAGUAGUGGAGCAGACAAUUGCCAUGGCCAGAAUAUUAGUAUAAUGACUGUAAGGAUUUUUAAUCAUAGAUGGAUUUAUAUGUGUGAAUAAUUGUGUGUUAAAUUAUAGGCUAUCGAAUUCGGUUGAGCCCAAUUAAAAUGAUCUAAUAAGGUUUCAGUUUUGGACUUUAAUGUAUCCAAUUAAAGUGUGGGUUUACAUAUGUGUAGAGACCGGAUCCAAGUCCUAAUUCUAUGACGGGUCGAAUUAGGUCAAAGGGCGUCCCUAUAUAAAUAGGUUAUGGUCCCCAGAUCACACGCACGUAUUAUUCAUUUUCUACUGCAUCCCAUCACAGAGAGAAAAAGGAGACUGCCUGUAGAUUUGAAAGACUAUAGCGCGAAAUUCAUUAUUACAUUAACCAUGUCUGAUUCAGGUACGCUUCCG